rnacentral:rRNA from 1 species
UACGUAGGGGGCUAGCGUUGUCCGGAUUUAUUGGGCGUAAAGAGCGUGUAGGCGGCCAGAUAGGUCUGCUGUGAAAACUCGAGGCUCAACCUCGAGAUGUCGGCGGAAACCAUUUGGCUAGAGUCCGGAAGAGGAGAGUGGAAUUCCUGGUGUAGCGGUGAAAUGCGCAGAUAUCAGGAAGAACACCAAUGGCGAAAGCAGCUCUCGUGGGACGGUACUGACGCUGAGACGCGAAAGCGUGGGGAGCGAACAGG